rnacentral:rRNA from 1 species
UGGGGAAUAUUGCACAAUGGGGGAAACCCUGAUGCAGCGACGCCGCGUGAGCGAAGAAGGCUUUCGAGUCGUAAAGCUCUGUCCUAUGAGAAGAUAAUGACGGUAUCAUAGGAGGAAGCCCUGGCUAAAUACGUGCCAGCAGCCGCGGUAAUACGUAGGUGGCAAGCGUUGUCCGGAAUUAUUGGGCGUAAAGCGCGCGCAGGUGGUUUAGAAAGUCUGAUGUGAAAGCCCACGGCUCAACCGUGGAGGGUCAUUGGAAACUAAUAAACUUGAGUGCAGGAGAGAAAAGUGGAAUUCCUAGUGUAGCGGUGAAAUGCGUAGAGAUUAGGAGGAACACCGGUGGCGAAAGCGGCUUUUUGGCCUGCAACUGACACUGAGGCGCGAAAGCGUGGGGAGCAAACAGG